GAAAAAUGAAAGCACAAACACAACGCAAACACAACAAUAUAUAGUGGUUCGGUGCUCUCCUUAGCACCUACGUCCACUCCCCAAGCGUCCCCUUGGGAAUUCACUAUAAUCUCGCGGAUUACAGUUGGAUUGUUUUCCGGGCUCACAAUCCAAAAACCUUGUUGGUUUUACGGGCUCACCAACGAACCUAUACACUUUGGUUUUUCGGGUUCACCAAAAACCUUUGUUGGUUUUGCGGGCUCACCAACGAACCUUUACACUUUGGUUUUCCGGGUUCACCAAAAAUCUUUGUUGGUUUUGCGGGCUCACCAACGAACCUUUACAAAGUAUUUAACAAAUGAAAAGAAAAGAUUCAAACUCCUAAAUGAGCAUAUAAAGCAAUAUGAACUACAAAGAAGAGUUAGAAAGUAUUUAUCGAUUUGGAGUGGCUUUGCUCUUCUUUGUCAAGGAUGCUUCACUCUUCAAGGGGGAAUGGAGCUCUUGAUGCCUCUUUGAAUCUGCUCAAUCCCUUUCUUUGAUUCUUGAAUGAAGCUCUUGAUGAAGGAGAUUAGGGCUCUUUUGUUUUCUUGUGUAUUCUUUGAUAUGCCACUCAAAAGUUGUUCUCUCUGAUGAAUAGUGCCCCUUUAAAUAGCUUCCCACCUUCUUAGGACAAGCCCCAAUGGUUAGAUUUGAAAAACUAGCCGUUACUCACCUUGGAAAGGACAAAAAGUACAUCUGCAGAACUAGCCGUUACUGUUCAGCCCGUGUUUGGGUCGGCUCAACCUGUCCUUGGGUCGACCCAACUUUGCCUUGGGUCGACUCAACCAUUUCUUGGGUCGACCCUCUCAGAAACCACAGAAACCUCAAUUUCAGCCUUCCUUCCCAUGGGUCGACCCAACCAUUCUUUGGGUCGACUCAAAGUUCACUUGGGUCGACUCAACUUCUUCUUGGGUCGACCCUCUCAGUAAUUCCAGAG
rnacentral:lncRNA from 1 species